CUGCAGCCCGACUUGAGUGGAAAUCCUUUUUUUGCUUGGUAGUAGCGUUGGCAAAAAAGAUUGGGAACGGAAGGCGGAAAAGCU
rnacentral:sRNA from 1 species